rnacentral:misc_RNA from 1 species
AUCGGAUUGUGGGCUCACUAAGAAGUCAGCGUGACAUUAGCUGCAUGUUUUGUAGUGGUAAUUACGUGUUGUUGAUAUGCAUGUCAAACCAGCUAUCCACUUGGUGUCUAAACUCUCUGAGAUGUUAAAGUGCAGUGGGCCGUGUCAGUUGUUGAAAACUUCAAAACGUCUUGGUAUACACCUACGGAGAAGGAUGUCAUCGGCGGUCAACUUCCCCAGCCUCAUCACCAAGAAGAGGAAUAAGGAGGAACUGAGUAGGGAUGACAUCGAAGCCUUCGUCAACGGCAUCGCUGACGAAAGCGUGCAGGACUCCCAGAUCGGUGCCAUGCUUAUGGCCAUGUAUUUAAACGAUCUGACCAUGAGGGAGACGACAGACCUGACCCGCGCCAUGAUGAACUCGGGGGAGACGCUGAGUUGGCCUAAGGAAUGGAAGGGUGAGCUGGUGGACAAACACAGCACCGGGGGAGUCGGGGACAAAGUCAGCCUAGUCCUCGCCCCGGCACUGGCAGCCUGUGGGUUGAAGGUACCCAUGAUCUCCGGGCGGGGUCUGGAGCACACCGGAGGGACGCUGGACAAACUGGAAUCUAUCCCAGGAUUCCAAGUCUCUGUGACGACAGAGAAGAUGCUGGAUAUCAUCAAGACUGUAGGCUGUUGCAUUGUGGGGCAGACGAAAAAACUGUGCCCUGCUGACAGCAAGAUGUACGCAAUACGUGACGUCACAGGCACUGUAGACAAUCUUGGGCUUAUAACAGGGUCGAUCAUCUCCAAAAAGGCAGCAGAGAAGAUAGAUGCUUUAGUGCUGGACGUUAAGUUUGGCAUCGGGGCUUUUCUCAAAGACAUUGACACGGCACGGAAGCUGGCAAAGAUGAUGGUUGGGUCCGGCAAUGGUCUGGGAAUAAAGACGGUGUCACUUCUCACAACUAUGAACUCGCCACUUGGCAAAAUGGUUGGCAACGCGUUAGAGGUGGCCGAAUCAAUCUGGACACUCCAAGGCAACGGCCCCGAUGAUCUCGUCAAUCUGAUCACAGAGUUAGGCGGAGAAUUGUUAAGCGUUGCAGGCAAAGCGACCUCUUCAGAGGAAGGUCGCCGUAGGAUCAUGACCACCCUCACUGACGGCUCAGCUUUGGCGAAGUUCUGCGCUAUGGUGAAAGCUCAAGGAGUAGAAGCCGCCACGGCAGACGCUCUGUGCGCACGCGAUGCCGACGUCUACAGUAUUCUGCCGAAAGCUCCUGCCACCAAGGACCUCCUCUCUCCAAAAUCAGGAUAUGUGACAGGUAUUGGCGCUAUGGCUUGUGCAGUUGUGGCACAAAAACUUGGAGCGGGAAGAUCCAAGGCUGGGGAAGCCAUUGACUAUACCGUGGGAUUGGAGUUCAUGGUGACGGUGGGAGACAAGGUGGAAGAAGGCAAGCCGUGGGUCAAGGUCCAUAUAAAGAAUGACAUUCCUGAUAACCUCAGAGACCAACUGGAAAAAGCCCUGGUUAUCGGUAGUGAAGCUCCUGCUUCUGGCACAAGCCGUGUCCAUGAAGUCGUUUCCGGUUGAUACUGCUGCAGCCGUCAUACCUGUUCAGGGCCACACAACAGACCGUGUCUUCAAUGUAUACUGCCUAGUCAUGCAUAUUUACUGGUCUGCUUUAACAAACGAAUCUGUCUCUUUGUUAGGCACCCCCUUUUCAAAAAAGCUGUAUCCGCCCAUGUAUCGUAGUAUAUAUUUUAACUCUUGCAAAGCUAGGAUUCUUUGUGGGUGGGUCGUAACUUGUUUCAACUGAAACCAGAGAUUUUGUGUCAGUUUAUGGCCAUCUGGUAUCACGUGACACCCCAGAGUGAUGACGUUACAAACAUCACUUGUUUCACGCUGUUUCAUAUUGGGUUUCACAAUAUACUAGAUUGAAUAAGCUUAUUUUUUCUAAAUGAUAGUUCAUCUCUUCAUCCUUUAUAUGUGACUUGUCUCAGGAGCAAACGCAUCCAUGCCGUCGUAGGCCCGGUUGCACAAAGCGAUUUCAGGUGUAAGACAUAACUUCCAUAUAUUACCAUUGAGCUAAUGUCGCUUUGUGGAACGGGUCCUUGGUUUUAUACAACGAGUAUUUCUGUUUUGUUUAACCUAUCCAGUGAUUGGUGUAUGCACUCUUUAUAUAUACCCGUAUAUAAAUGUGCGUCUGUCUACCUGUCUACCGUCCAUUUCUCUACCGCCACAGUUGCCUAUUUGUCGUCUAAUGUAAACCCUUUGUAUCCCCGCCUCUCUGUCUGUUGGGCGAGGUGUACACAAUAUUUACCCAGUUGCUCAAAGGAUCGACGUCCCAUCCAGAACAAGUUAGCAUCCAUAUAUAUGAUAGCGUUAAAAUAAUGUUUUUCACAAGCGAUAUAAUACAUAAACCGGUUAACUGUAAAAUACUAUUUCCCUUAGUUAUAUUGUACUUAAAGGUUAUUUUACACUGUUUUGAAAGUUAUAUAUAUACCUGUUAUUGAAUUUAAUGUAUUUUAUACCGGUUAUCUUCGUCAACUGUACAAUACUGUUUUACCUGGUUGUAUUGUACAUUGGAGUUAUUUUACACUGUUGUUAAAUUUUUAAGGUAUAGAAAAUUAGAAAUAUAGCUGUAAAGCGGUUAUCUUCGUCAACUGCACAAUAUUGUUUUACUUGGUUUUAUUGUACUUUGGAGUUAUUUUACACUGUUGUUCAAGGUAUGGACAUAUAGCUGUUAUUGACUUAAAUCUAUUCUAAACCGGUUAUCUUCGUCAACUGCACAAUACUGUUUCCCUUGGUUGUAUUGUACUUUGGAGUUAUUUUACACUGUUGUUCAAGGUAUGGACAUAUAGCUGUUAUUGACUUAAAUCUAUUCUAAACCGGUUAUCUUCGUCAACUGCACAAUACUGUUUCCCUUGGUUGUAUUGUACUUUGGAGUUAUUUUACACUGUUGUUCAAGGUAUGGACAUAUAGCUGUUAUUGACUUAAAUCUAUUCUAAACCGGUUAUCUUCGUCAACUGCACAAUACUGUUUCCCUUGGUUGUAUUGUACUUUGGAGUUAUUUUACACUGUUGUUCAAGGUAUGGACAUAUAGCUGUUAUUGACUUAAAUCUAUUCUAAACCGGUUAUCUUCGUCAACUGUACAAUACAAACAUGCAUGUACUGUUAUUUGUUUAUUGUUUGAUGUCAGAUUUCUUAUAACCAUUGAUUACAGUUAUUUCCAACUAUAUCUAUAGUUAGUAUAGUUAGAUUCACAUCAAAUAACAAUGUAUUAUAUAUAAAUCAGAGGACGCUGUAAACCUGAUAUCCUUGUUACAUAGGUCCGACUGUGAUUCGGUUAUUGUGGGUAACCGUGGAUUAUUCUCCUACUUUACCACCCUGUCAUGUGACUAAAGGAUAGCUCUUGUUUAUACCUGGGUACAACUUGUCGGGUGCCGGUGUUAGUUUUGUUUGUUUGUUUGUACUGGUCAUUAAUGUUACGAGUGGGGAUCGCAUGUGCGCGUCAUUAAGUAAAGUCAUUAUUUGGGACAGAUUGUUUCUACAUACGUUUUUGACGUUUUCAGCGAGUAUCUGCUGUUUUGCAUGUGUUUAUAUAAAUACACUGACAGAUGACAACGACACAAUAUAAAUGUUUCACAAUCAUCGGGAACAUGACACUAUGCACAAACUUUAUACAUGUAUUUGUUUAUCAAUGUGCAUUAUAGUUCUGUGCUAAUUGGUAUAUGACGGUUAGGGGUUUUAAACUGAUAUAUGGCAGUAGCGUCCGUUACUGUAUUACCUCUCAUCAGUUAAUGGUUAUUGACAUGCUUGUAAGAUGCGACUCACGGGAUCGGAUGGUCAGGCUCGCUGACUUGGUUGAUACAUGUCAUCGUAUCCCAAAUGCGUAGAUCGAUGCUAGUGAUGUCUAUCACUGUAUUGUCUGGUCCAGAUAAAAUUAUUUACAGACCGCCGUCAUAUAGAUGAAAUAGUGCUGAGUGCGACGUUAAACAACAAACAAACAUGUUUAUUGUCAGAUGUCCUCGGUGUCGCUGCUUGGCAUGGAUGUGACGUGGAACUGAUAAUUAACAAUAAACGGAUGAUGGGGUCGGCAUCUUCCAGAAGCAAGGGAGGUAACUGACUUUAAAAGUGUGGAAACUGGGCUCUUACAGUCAGUUAACUCCCUUGCCUCGGGAAGAUGGGAUUCGGCAGAAGGGAAGCAAAGGCUAGGUGACGAAGUUUUCAGGGAUAUUUUCAUCAGGCUAUUAUUUUACAGUAAAACAAAUGGCUUUGCAAUUUAUACUUGUGUAUCAAUUUAUACCGAGUUCUCUCUAGGCAGCAUCGCUGAAUUAAUCCCAGUCUCAUUAAAAUCAGAUCUUAGUUCUCUUAGAAGCUGAUCUGGGACAUCAGAUUUGUUUUUACUGAUCCAUUUAGUUCUUCUAUAAAAUAGAUGUUUUUCAAACAAUUUAGAAAUUUAGGGUUAUUCCUCUACAGUUGCGUGGAUCAGAUUUUGACGUUUAGCCUCAAAAAAAAGAUAUCACCAUGCCUAGUUUAUGGUUAUAUGGUAUGCUAUUCUCUAAUUCUGUACGUGAUUUGGUAGCUUUUUGUUAAAAUCAACCUUUCUUCACCAAGGCUAUGAUUGCUCAUAAUAGGCAUAUCAACAUAGCGAAGUCAUAAUGAGUGCAAGCCUGUCCAUGUACACUUUUUUAUACUUUCAAUGAGACGUUUUGAUAGAACUGCUGGUACCGACGCGUCGCAAUCAAACGACAAAAGAACAGACGUUAAGCAUAGUUCUUGAAUAUGAUUAUAAUAGCGUUCUUCAAAAAAUCUUGUUUUAAGCAUCUAGUGCAAGGUUCUUUGAAUGUUGGCCAUAGUUAAAAAUAGGUUACAACACUCAGGUUCCAUGUUCAAUCGUUCAAAUGGUCACUGAUACCUGACCCUUGCAACGAUUCGACAUCUGAUCCUCGUGCACCGAGCCUUGGGGCUCAACUGACCAUUUCAGCGAUCGAUUAAACCUCGGAUCCUCGCGGUCUAACCUAUACGAUGUCUGAAUAUCGGUCAUGUGUUCUGUUUGUUCCAAAUACCUGCAUUCCAUACAAAAUAAACACUUUUUUCUCUUUA